rnacentral:rRNA from 1 species
CCGGGGUGAGUAAUGUCUGGGAAACUGCCUGAUGGAGGGGGAUAACUACUGGAAACGGUAGCUAAUACCGCAUAACGUCGCAAGACCAAAGUGGGGGACCUUCGGGCCUCAUGCCAUAAGAUGUGCCCAGAUGGGAUUAGCUAGUAGGUGGGGUAACGGCUCACCUAGGCGACGAUCCCUAGCUGGUCUGAGAGGAUGACCAGCCACACUGGAACUGAGACACGGUCCAG